UCUAUGCGGCUUCUCGAGUCUUCUAUAGAUCCACAGCUUGUCUUAGCUUUCUUUCUUUUAUUUAUCAUACUCUCUCCUUUUGUCAACCAAUAUAUUUCAUUCAUUUCCUUCAUUAAAAAGAAAGAAUUCAAUUUGAUCAUAAUUUUCUUGAUUUCUUGAACUGCAGGAAUUAUCUGCUUCAUAGUAGUUAAUCAGAUCAACAAGAAUGACUCAUAUCCUUUGCUGAUCAGUUUUGUUAUUAUCUUCACAUCAACUUUUUCAUUUUUUUACAAAUCCCGUUGUUUAAUCCAAAGCAACUAAACAGAUUAAUGGGGAAUUUGAUGUUAUAAAAUGUUAGUUUUUUGGUUUAUGAUUCUGUUUUAUCUUUAACUGAAGCGAAAGCGGAAACCAGAGAGAGCGAGACCGUGAAAGAGCUCAAGCUAGGGCCGGCAAUACCAAAUCCAAGAACUCCAAUCACGACGGUUUGACCCCUGAACAACGCCGUGAAAGAGACGCAAAGGCUUUACAGGAGAAAUUAGGGAAAAAAGCUGCUCAGGCCGCUGCUGGCGGAAAUAAUGCUGGUGGUGGUGGUGGAGGUAAAAGCAAAUAAUGGAGUGUUUGCUCAUUGAUAUUGACUUCUGAACACUGGAUAUUCAUAUCUGAUUUAAAUGGGAACCUUGUGUAGCAUAGUAUUGUGAUGUCUUUGAACUCUAAAGUAUGUCUAGUUUAACUCAAUUAUUCUUAUUGAACUUUCAUUUAUUUUGUUGCUUAUUUUUUAUUUAAUAAAAUCAUCCUAAUGUAUAAAUGGUGAUUUUAUGAACAUUAGAAUAAGAUAUUGAAUGAAUGUUGAUUAAGAUAUUGAAUGCUUUUCGGAUUUCUAUCA